CCCCUCUCAGGUUGCACCUGGAGAAUUUCCAGUACUCUACCAGUCUCAACUAUGGGAGGGAGAGUCAAGCAGAGGCAGAUCCAUUCCAUUUCAAGCUUGGACAGUGGCUAGCAGUUGGAAGGCAAUCUACUACAAAU